AUUUCGUCGGGAAAUCAAAGUAAAGUAAAUGUAAGCUAGAUAUUGCGCAUACGCCAUGUGAAGCGGGAAAUUCCACGAUAAUGGUGAUUCAGUAGCAAUGAGCUGCAGAUGCGGCAUAAACCUAAACAGCAUUCUCAAAACUGGCUUUCAUGUUUUUGGACCCGUUCACUAUAUGUGCUCCAUAUAUUUGUUUGUUUUUUUAUUUUUUUAUAUUUGAAGGGGGCCGGUCUGCAUUGUUAGCGCUUUUUUGUUUUUGCUGCUUUUGAGAUAAGAGCUUGGCUGGUGUUGUUGUAGUUGCAAACUGAUAAGGGUCCAAAGAGUCGGCACGCUUUGUAGAAUCCACCGAAAGCCCCCAGAAAAGCAAAUAAAUUCGAGGCUAUUGUCGAUUUUAUUUUUUAUCACAUGUGAUAAAUGAAUAUGGGAAAGCAGCCAAGCGAUUAGCGAACCAAAGGAAUAAACCGCUGAGGAUUUCACUGUUUUUCUUCUUCAGAACUUUGCUACUGAUCAAAACAUACUAUAUUUUAUAUAUAUAGUUUGAUGGCUGCGUAAUUACUUCCUAACUUCGAAAACAGUUGCUUUUGCGAGUUAAUUAAUUUGAAAAAAUGACCAUUAAAUUGAUUGCGCAUUUGACUUGAUUGCAGAAAAACCAGAAAAUGGCUUAAUUUAUUAAGCUGGCAAAGUAUGACACCGAAUUUAUGGCUGCAUAAAUCACACAUGUGUACUUACAUGUGUGUAUGCGGAUUAUACAUGUGUCUGAAUUUGAAUUCCCCAAACAACAAUUGAAAAGUCCCCCCACUUUUUUCUAUAUAUCUAGAUAUUUACAUUUACAUAUAUGUAUGUGUAUAUUUUCGCCAGACUUUUUUGCACACCCCAAUUUUCCGGCAAUUUCUUUUUUUUUUUUUUUUUUUGAGUUUUUGUGCAAGAAGUUAAAAAAUGGAAAAGUAAUGAAAAAAGCAACGACGACGCUAUGUCUGCCCGAUCUGCUUAUAAUUGGAUUUCCGCUGUGUGCUGAAGGGAGAGGGCUAUACUAGAGGGAGAGGGCGCUACUGUGCGAGUGAGUGGGCACUAGGCGGCGGCAGCUGUUUGAUGAUGAAUCUCAAGUCGCUGUCUCAUUACAACUUUCAAUUUCAAUUGCUUCUUUCGCUUCUAUUCGCCCUCUCGUUUUCGCAUUAUGCUUAGCAUCUACGCUCUCACGCAUGGCUCUUAUUUUAGGCUACACUGCGAAUAACUUUCGUAAUUUUACAACCUUUAAUGGCGAAUUAUAAGUGUCUAUUUAUGCAUCUCAAUUGCCUUCUAUAGUUCACCUAUUAAUUAUGUUUAAUUGAUUGGAUUUGAAACAUCGAUAGAAGGCAUGCUCAGUAGUUCAACAAGUAUUUCUCUCAGUGCCGUAGCCCCCUCUCGCUCGCACUCCCAGCUGUGUUGGCGCCUGGCUCGCCUUCGCCUCAAUUCGAAUUCGUUAUUCGCCUCGCUUCGUUCGUUUUUCGCCGCCAACUGCUCUGCCCGCGGCGACAGCGACGCCGGCGCAGGGUCUCGUUUUCGCUUUCGCUUCGCAUCGUUUUCAUCGUUUUCAUCGUCUCCGUCAUAUAACAACGUUCGCCGUUCGCUCCGCACACACAAUUUGCGUUUAAAAAAUUCCGCAAAAACGCAAUUCGCGAAAAUCGUGCACAAUUCGUGAAACGGUAAAAAAUCGGUCGAAAACCGCGGAUUAAUCUGAAAAAUCAACAAAAUAUAACGGCGAAAGCGUAGACACAAUUAUGCAGGUGACAAAGUAAACCAAAUAUGUAUAUACGAAUUGAUUAGGAAAAUGAGAAAGCCUAAGGUAAA